AGUCGAGCGGUAGAGAGAAGCUUGCUUCUCUUGAGAGCGGCGGACGGGUGAGUAAUGCCUAGGAAUCUGCCUGGUAGUGGGGGAUAACGUUCGGAAACGGACGCUAAUACCGCAUACGUCCUACGGGAGAAAGCAGGGGACCUUCGGGCCUUGCGCUAUCAGAUGAGCCUAGGUCGGAUUAGCUAGUUGGUGGGGUAAUGGCUCACCAAGGCGACGAUCCGUAACUGGUCUGAGAGGAUGAUCAGUCACACUGGAACUGAGACACGGUCCAGACUCCUACGGGAGGCAGCAGUGGGGAAUAUUGGACAAUGGGCGAAAGCCUGAUCCAGCCAUGCCGCGUGUGUGAAGAAGGUCUUCGGAUUGUAAAGCACUUUAAGUUGGGAGGAAGGGCAGUAAAUUAAUACUUUGCUGUUUUGACGUUACCGACAGAAUAAGCACCGGCUAACUCUGUGCCAGCAGCCGCGGUAAUACAGAGGGUGCAAGCGUUAAUCGGAAUUACUGGGCGUAAAGCGCGCGUAGGUGGUUCGUUAAGUUGGAUGUGAAAUCCCCGGGCUCAACCUGGGAACUGCAUUCAAAACUGACGAGCUAGAGUAUGGUAGAGGGUGGUGGAAUUUCCUGUGUAGCGGUGAAAUGCGUAGAUAUAGGAAGGAACACCAGUGGCGAAGGCGACCACCUGGACUGAUACUGACACUGAGGCGCGAAAGCGUGGGGAGCAACAGGAUUAGAUACCCUGGUAGUCCACGCCGUAAACGAUGUCAACUAGCCGUUGGGAGCCUUGAGCUCUUAGUGGCGCAGCUAACGCAUUAAGUUGACCGCCUGGGGAGUACGGCCGCAAGGUUAAAACUCAAAUGAAUUGACGGGGGCCCGCACAAGCGGUGGAGCAUGUGGUUUAAUUCGAAGCAACGUGAAGAACCUUACCAGGCCUUGACAUCCAAUGAACUUUCUAGAGAUAGAUUGUGCCUUCGGGAACAUUGAGACAGGUGCUGCAU
rnacentral:rRNA from 1 species